ensembl:lncRNA
GGCAGCCAUGUGUUGCUAUUGCAGACAACAGUUUCAUUAUUAUAAUGAUAUUUACAGUUAGCUACAUGAUAGUGUGUCUAAGACGGACAGACAGACUAAGUGAAGAGAAGCCAGAGGGACUCUUAGACUAUACAGGACUUAACACAUUCAAAAAGUGCUCACCCAGGGUCAGAUCCAGCCUGUUCAUGUACACGUCACAUAUUAAUAUCUGUAAGGCCAAACAGAUCCUAGAUCUGUCGCCAGCCCUUCUAACGAGAUUCCAGGCCUGGGAGAGAGAGGGAAGGAGGACACAUGACUGUGGUGCUCUGAGGCAGACUUAUUGGCCAUCAAAUACAGCUCCCUAUUCCCCAUGAUAGGACACCACUUCUGGUGUCACAGGGGGCACGUCCGUCAGUCCUGCUCAGGGUCAAAGUGCCACACGUGUAAUCUGCCGUUUCUUUCUGCAGCCAUGCACAAUAAAGCACUCGUCUGGAUCCAUGGGUGAAGGGCAGUGUUGGCCUCAGCCCUGACCCCUCCGACCCACAGAUCAGUACCCCUCAGUGGUAAAUGGGGCCUCUCCAACCAAGCCGGGUCUGCUGUCAGCAGCUGUUCUGGUUCAACAUUCAUAUAGUUUCCACUUAAUUAAUAGUUUAAACAGGCAUUCUAGGAAAAUAAUGUCUGUCCUUUCACAAUGAAUAUACAGAUGAAAUUAACAUCUGGGAAUCUUCAUAGUUUAGCCUGCCUUUCUAAACCCGGGCAGUAGGGGGAAGGUUGUUUGACAUCAUUAACAUGCAAGCAGGCAUUCUGAGGUUCACGCAGUCAGCCAACUAACCAAUCUGUCAGCCAACUAACCAACCGAUCAGCCACCAGCUUCCUAGGUGGUUAGACAGGGAGAGGCAGAGAUGCUGAGAUGAGAGGAUCAUUCUCUGUAAACACAGUCAUGGUUGAUUGUGCUCUUUAAACCACUGCGAGCAGGCCAAGAUGCUGGGGCUUUUACGUUUUUGGUCUAUUCCAUUGGCAAAUUGAGACAGACGAGGACCAAUCAAGCACACGUGAAACUUCACAUCUUCGGGUUGUGAUCAGACCUUCUCAGCUCAGUUUUACGCGUCACACUCCGUCCCAACCCUCCUUAUAGCAGGUCAAAGACCCUAUAACCCUGUAAAUACCCAAUACCACUAUGAUACCCUAUAACCCUGCAGAGCCAUUACCCUCUAUAACACUCCAAUACUUUACGAACAUAUAACCUUAAACAACUACAUAAGCCCCUGUAACAUUACAACCGUAUAACCCCCCCCAACCAUUUAUAAACCUCUACAACCUUAUAAACCAAUAAGACUGUAAAGAUCCCCAAACUCUCUAUAACCCCCAUAUAACUGAGCUGAGACUGCCUAUGUAGCAUUGCCUUCAACCAGAGCUGUUCACUACUUCUUACCAGUGCUUUGGACACACUAGGGAACAAUGGACCAUCUGAGAUUGUUUUGACGUCAUACUGUGCAACAGCACUGCUGUCCUCCUCCUCUCCUCACAGCUUAAACAGGGACAAUGUGGCUGUCAUCCAGUCCGCAACCCCGCCUUGCUUCACCCACGCUAUUAUACUGACAUACAACCCCAGGUUUCCUCCACCCACCCCUUUAUACUGACAUGCAGUAUUACACACACACACACACACAAAAACACCAGCGAAUUUCAAAAGGGAGGAUUUUGUUUGAUUUUAACUAUUAAAAAGCUCACAUAACUAGCAUUUUCCCAAGCAAUAUAAUUGGAGGC